ACGGGAGGCAGCAGUGAGGAAUAUUGGGCAAUGGGCGAAAGCCUGACCCAGCAACGCCGCGUGAAGGAAGAAGGCCUUCGGGUUGUAAACUUCUUUUACCAGGGACGAAGGACGUGACGGUACCUGGAGAAAAAGCAACGGCUAACUACGUGCCAGCAGCCGCGGUAAUACGUAGGUUGCAAGCGUUGUCCGGAUUUACUGGGUGUAAAGGGCGUGUAGGCGGCUUUUUAAGUCUGAAGUGAAAGUCCUGCUUUCAAGGUGGGAAUUGCUUUGGAGACUGGAAGGCUUGAGUGCGGAAGAGGUAAGUGGAAUUCCCAGUGUAGCGGUGAAAUGCGUAGAGAUUGGGAGGAACACCAGUGGCGAAGGCGACUUACUGGGCCGUAACUGACGCUGAGGCGCGAAAGCGUGGGUAGCAAACAGGAUUAGAUACCCUGGUA
rnacentral:rRNA from 1 species